GUGCUCGUCGGCAGCACAUAUACUAAAAUUGGAACGAUACAGAGAAGAUUAGCAAGGGCCCUGCGCAAAGAAUUACCUGCAGCUUAUUAAGUUAGGAUUGAAAGGA
rnacentral:snRNA from 14 species